rnacentral:rRNA from 1 species
AGAGUUUGAUCCUGGCUCAGAGCGAACGCUGGCGGCAGGCCUAAUACAUGCAAGUCGAACGGAUCCUUCGGGAUUAGUGGCGGACGGGUGAGUAACACGUGGGAACGUGCCUUUGGUUCGGAACAACUCAGGGAAACUUGAGCUAAUACCGGAUAAGCCCUUCGGGGGAAAGAUUUAUCGCCAUUGGAGCGGCCCGCGUCUGAUUAGCUAGUUGGUGGGGUAAUGGCCCACCAAGGCUACGAUCAGUAGCUGGUCUGAGAGGAUGAUCAGCCACACUGGGACUGAGACACGGCCCAGACUCCUACGGGAGGCAGCAGUAGGGAAUCUUGCGCAAUGGGCGAAAGCCUGACGCAGCCAUGCCGCGUGAAUGAUGAAGGUCUUAGGAUUGUAAAAUUCUUUCAGCGGGGACGAUAAUGACGGUACCCGCAGAAGAAGCCCCGGCUAACUUCGUGCCAGCAGCCGCGGUAAUACGAAGGGGGCUAGCGUUGCUCGGAAUUACUGGGCGUAAAGGGCGCGUAGGCGGAUGUUUAAGUCAGAGGUGAAAGCCCAGGGCUCAACCUUGGAAUUGCCUUUGAUACUGGACAUCUUGAGUACGGGAGAGGUGAGUGGAACUCCGAGUGUAGAGGUGAAAUUCGUAGAUAUUCGGAAGAACACCAGUGGCGAAGGCGACUCACUGGCCCGUUACUGACGCUGAAGCGCGAAAGCGUGGGGAGCAAACAGGAUUAGAUACCCUAGUAGUCC